GGUUAAGCGACUAAGCGUACACGGUGGAUGCCCUGGCAGUCAGAGGCGAUGAAGGGCGUGCUAAUCUGCGAUAAGCGCCGGUAAGGUGAUAUGAACCGUUAUAACCGGCGAUACCCGAAUGGGGAAACCCAGUGUGACUCGUCACACUAUCAUUAACUGAAUCCAUAGGUUAAUGAGGCGAACCGGGGGAACUGAAACAUCUAAGUACCCCGAGGAAAAGAAAUCAACCGAGAUUCCCCCAGUAGCGGCGAGCGAACGGGGAGGAGCCCAGAGCCUGAAUCAGCAUGUGUGUUAGUGGAAGCGUCUGGAAAGGCGCGCGAUACAGGGUGACAGCCCCGUACACAAAAGCGCAUGUGCUGUGAGCUCGAUGAGUAGGGCGGGACACGUGGUAUCCUGUCUGAAUAUGGGGGGACCAUCCUCCAAGGCUAAAUACUCCUGACUGACCGAUAGUGAACCAGUACCGUGAGGGAAAGGCGAAAAGAACCCCGGCGAGGGGAGUGAAAAAGAACCUGAAACCGUGUACGUACAAGCAGUGGGAGCACAGGUUUACCUGUGUGACUGCGUACCUUUUGUAUAAUGGGUCAGCGACUUAUAUUCUGUAGCAAGGUUAACCGAAUAGGGGAGCCGGAGGGAAACCGAGUCUUAAUUGGGCGUUAAGUUGCAGGGUAUAGACCCGAAACCCGGUGAUCUAGCCAUGGGCAGGUUGAAGGUUGGGUAACACUAACUGGAGGACCGAACCGACUAAUGUUGAAAAAUUAGCGGAUGACCUGUGGCUGGGGGUGAAAGGCCAAUCAAACCGGGAGAUAGCUGGUUCUCCCCGAAAGCUAUUUAGGUAGCGCCUCGUGAAUUCAUCUCCGGGGGUAGAGCACUGUUUCGGCUAGGGGGCCAUCCCGGCUUACCAACCCGAUGCAAACUGCGAAUACCGGAGAAUGUUAUCACGGGAGACACACGGCGGGUGCUAACGUCCGUCGUGAAGAGGGAAACAACCCAGACCGCCAGCUAAGGUCCCAAAGUCAUGGUUAAGUGGGAAACGAUGUGGGAAGGCCCAGACAGCCAGGAUGUUGGCUUAGAAGCAGCCAUCAUUUAAAGAAAGCGUAAUAGCUCACUGGUCGAGUCGGCCUGCGCGGAAGAUGUAACGGGGCUAAACCAUGCACCGAAGCUGCGGCAGCGAACGUAUCACUUAAAGCGAUUCAGCGGGUUACGAUUGACGGAGCGAAGCGACGUCAAAGCGUAUACAAAGUCGAGUCGGUUUAAGGAUACGUUCGUUGGGUAGGGGAGCGUUCUGUAAGCCUGUGAAGGUGGCCUGUGAGGGUUGCUGGAGGUAUCAGAAGUGCGAAUGCUGACAUAAGUAACGAUAAAGCGGGUGAAAAGCCCGCUCGCCGGAAGACCAAGGGUUCCUGUCCAACGUUAAUCGGGGCAGGGUGAGUCGACCCCUAAGGCGAGGCCGAAAGGCGUAGUCGAUGGGAAACGGGUUAAUAUUCCCGUACUUGGUGUUACUGCGAAGGGGGGACGGAGAAGGCUAUGUUGGCCGGGCGACGGUUGUCCCGGUUUAAGCGUGUAGGUGUGUGUUCCAGGUAAAUCCGGUUCACUUUAACACUGAGGCGUGACGACGAGGCACUACGGUGCUGAAGCAACAAAUGCCCUGCUUCCAGGAAAAGCCUCUAAGCAUCAGGUAACAUCAAAUCGUACCCCAAACCGACACAGGUGGUCAGGUAGAGAAUACCAAGGCGCUUGAGAGAACUCGGGUGAAGGAACUAGGCAAAAUGGUGCCGUAACUUCGGGAGAAGGCACGCUGACACGUAGGUGAAGUGAUUUACUCAUGGAGCUGAAGUCAGUCGAAGAUACCAGCUGGCUGCAACUGUUUAUUAAAAACACAGCACUGUGCAAACACGAAAGUGGACGUAUACGGUGUGACGCCUGCCCGGUGCCGGAAGGUUAAUUGAUGGGGUCAGCGCAAGCGAAGCUCCUGAUCGAAGCCCCGGUAAACGGCGGCCGUAACUAUAACGGUCCUAAGGUAGCGAAAUUCCUUGUCGGGUAAGUUCCGACCUGCACGAAUGGCGUAAUGAUGGCCAGGCUGUCUCCACCCGAGACUCAGUGAAAUUGAACUCGCUGUGAAGAUGCAGUGUACCCGCGGCAAGACGGAAAGACCCCGUGAACCUUUACUAUAGCUUGACACUGAACAUUGAGCCUUGAUGUGUAGGAUAGGUGGGAGGCUUUGAAGCGUGGACGCCAGUCUGCGUGGAGCCGACCUUGAAAUACCACCCUUUAAUGUUUGAUGUUCUAACGUGGACCCGUAAUCCGGGUUGCGGACAGUGUCUGGUGGGUAGUUUGACUGGGGCGGUCUCCUCCUAAAGAGUAACGGAGGAGCACGAAGGUUGGCUAAUCCUGGUCGGACAUCAGGAGGUUAGUGCAAUGGCAUAAGCCAGCUUGACUGCGAGCGUGACGGCGCGAGCAGGUGCGAAAGCAGGUCAUAGUGAUCCGGUGGUUCUGAAUGGAAGGGCCAUCGCUCAACGGAUAAAAGGUACUCCGGGGAUAACAGGCUGAUACCGCCCAAGAGUUCAUAUCGACGGCGGUGUUUGGCACCUCGAUGUCGGCUCAUCACAUCCUGGGGCUGAAGUAGGUCCCAAGGGUAUGGCUGUUCGCCAUUUAAAGUGGUACGCGAGCUGGGUUUAGAACGUCGUGAGACAGUUCGGUCCCUAUCUGCCGUGGGCGCUGGAGAACUGAGGGGGGCUGCUCCUAGUACGAGAGGACCGGAGUGGACGCAUCACUGGUGUUCGGGUUGUCAUGCCAAUGGCACUGCCCGGUAGCUAAAUGCGGAAGAGAUAAGUGCUGAAAGCAUCUAAGCACGAAACUUGCCCCGAGAUGAGUUCUCCCUGAGACUUAGAGUCUCCUGAAGGAACGUUGAAGACGACGACGUUGAUAGGCCGGGUGUGUAAGCGCAGCGAUGCGUUGAGCUAACCGGUACUAAUGAACCGUGAGGCUUAACCUU
rnacentral:rRNA from 1 species